rnacentral:rRNA from 1 species
AUUGAACGCUGGCGGCAGGCCUAACACAUGCAAGUCGAGCGGCAGCGGAAAGUAGCUUGCUACUUUGCCGGCGAGCGGCGGACGGGUGAGUAAUGUCUGGGAAACUGCCUGAUGGAGGGGGAUAACUACUGGAAACGGUAGCUAAUACCGCAUAACGUCGCAAGACCAAAGAGGGGGACCUUUGGGCCUCUUGCCAUCAGAUGUGCCCAGAUGGGAUUAGCUAGUAGGUGGGGUAACGGCUCACCUAGGCGACGAUCCCUAGCUGGUCUGAGAGGAUGACCAGCCACACUGGAACUGAGACACGGUCCAGACUCCGACGGGAGGCAGCAGUGGGGAAUAUUGCACAAUGGGCGCAAGCCUGAUGCAGCCAUGCCGCGUGUAUGAAGAAGGCCUUCGGGUUGUAAAGUACUUUCAGCGGGGAGGAAGGUGUUGUGGUUAAUAACCACAGCAAUUGACGUUACCCGCAGAAGAAGCACCGGCUAACUCCGUGCCAGCAGCCGCCGUAA